rnacentral:rRNA from 1 species
CCUACGGAGGGCUGCAGUGGGGAAUAUUGGACAAUGGGGGCAACCCUGAUCCAGCCAUGCCGCGUGUGUGAAGAAGGCCCUCGGGUUGUAAAGCACUUUCAGUGAGGAAGAACGCCUGGUGGUUAAUACCCAUCAGGAAAGACAUCACUCACAGAAGAAGCACCGGCUAACUCCGUGCCAGCAGCCGCGGUAAUACGGAGGGUGCGAGCGUUAAUCGGAAUUACUGGGCGUAAAGCGCGCGUAGGUGGCUUGAUAAGCCGGUUGUGAAAGCCCCGGGCUCAACCUGGGAACGGCAUCCGGAACUGUCAAGCUAGAGUGCAGGAGAGGAAGGUAGAAUUCCCGGUGUAGCGGUGAAAUGCGUAGAGAUCGGGAGGAAUACCAGUGGCGAAGGCGGCCUUCUGGACUGACACUGACACUGAGGUGCGAAAGCGUGGGUAGCAAACAGGAUUAGAUACCCUGGUAGUC